AACGAACGCUGGCGGCAUGCCUAACACAUGCAAGUCGAACGAGACCUUCGGGUCUAGUGGCGCACGGGUGCGUAACGCGUGGGAACCUGCCCUUAGGUUCGGAAUAACUCCCCGAAAGGGGUGCUAAUACCGGAUAAUGUCUUCGGACCAAAGAUUUAUCGCCUUUGGAUGGGCCCGCGUUGGAUUAGCUAGUUGGUAGGGUAAAAGCCUACCAAGGCGACGAUCCAUAGCUGGUCUGAGAGGAUGAUCAGCCACACUGGGACUGAGACACGGCCCAGACUCCUACGGGAGGCAGCAGUGGGGAAUAUUGGACAAUGGGCGAAAGCCUGAUCCAGCAAUGCCGCUUGAGUGAUGAAGGCCUUAGGGUUGUAAAGCUCUUUUACCCGGGAUGAUAAUGACAGUACCGGGAGAAUAAGCUCCGGCUAACUCCGUG
rnacentral:rRNA from 1 species